UGACGUGGCGAUAUAUGAUUCGGUCGUCAUCGAGUGCACGCUACGCGCCGCCGCAUGAUCAUCCGUACUCAAGAGUCACGCCGCAAAUAAAAGGGCCUCGAUUUUUUGUGUUCGGUUUCUCUGCGAAGAGUUUCAUUGUUCUCGCUAGAUUCUCUCCGCUCCUCUCGAUUGCAAUCAAUAUUUGGGGAAAAAAUGCUGAUUGGUUGCCGAGAAAAUUCACCGGCUCAUUUGCCGGGGAUCUGGUUAUGAUUUUCUGCAAGAUCACUUGGGAAUCAAGUUGAUUGUACUGUUUCACUUCUGUUUUCGGUAGAUUCUGGCUAUUGAUGCGAGAUCAGAUUGAUGGUGUUUAAGUGAUCGUGAUCGAAGUGAAUUUCCAUUCUCAUUCUGAUGUUGAUUUGGUUUAUCUGAUUGUAUAUGGAAAUAUGCUCUCUAUCCAGUGGUCGGUGAUUCUAGCAGAUUCAAUGCUUCAUUCGCAAUGCUAAGUUUCAUCAUGAAACUAUUGGUCUUAUUUUGAUUUUAGAUGUUCCGAAUUCAGAGUCAAUGUUCACAGUAGUUUGAUCGGCCAAAAAAAGUUUGAGAUCUGAUUUCCACAACGGUGUUGCGAUUGUUUAACGCGAGCUCCAAGGACCAUUUUCAAGAGAGAACUUGACGGGAUCCAAGUAGAAUUGCAGGCAACCGAUCCAACAGAGAUGGGCCUCGAUGUCAUCAAAAGCCGUGCCAAUUAGCUCAAACCCACCUCAUUUCUAAACGAAAAGAAUGGAGGGCUUCCUUCAAAACACCGGGCAGGGUUGCAGCCAGUUACCUGGGGUACAGUCUUCCACAAGAAGAAGCUGAAGAACUUUAGGAACCCUGCAAAACCAUAUAAUAUGAAAAC